GAUGCAUCUGCUACACUUGUGGUCUUUGAGCGAAGGUAUGCAUCUCUGGAAAAUUAUGUCGCUGAGCCAAUCAUAAGUUCAACAGAAAAGCAGCCACUCCUUGAAACUCCAGGAGAAAAAACUCAUAUACAGGUAUGCCUUUGAAUAUGGGAGCAAUUACUUUUAGUUGAAAGUGAUGAAGUGCACUUAGGAUCAACUUGAAGUUUCUGCUUGGCUAUGUACUGAACAUAUUUCUACUUGUUGUAUACUGAAUGUACUGAACAUAUU